rnacentral:rRNA from 1 species
ACAUCCAGAGAAUUUAGCAGAGAUGCUUUAGUGCCUUCGGGAACUCUGAGACAGGUGCUGCAUGGCUGUCGUCAGCUCGUGUUGUGAAAUGUUGGGUUAAGUCCCGNAACGAGCGCAACCCUUUAUCCUUUGUUGCCAGCACGUAAUGGUGGGAACUCAAAGGAGACUGCCGGUGAUAACCGGAGGAAGGUGGGGAUGACGUCAAGUCAUCAUGGCCCUUACGAGUAGGGCUACACACGUGCUACAAUGGCGCAUACAAAGAGAAGCGACCUCGCGAGAGCAAGCGGACCUCAUAAAGUGCGUCGUAGUCCGGAUUGGAGUCUGCAACUCGACUCCAUGAAGUCGGAAUCGCUAGUAAUCGUAAAUCAGAAUGUUACGGUGAAUACGUUCCCGGGCCUUGUACACACCGCCCGUCACACCAUGGGAGUGGGUUGCAAAAGAAGUAGAUAGCUUAACCUUCGGGAGGGCGUUUACCACUUUGUGAUUCAUGACUGGGGUGAAGUCGUAACAAGGUAGGCGUAGUGCU